rnacentral:lncRNA from 1 species
CACACUCACACCCUUUAACUUGUCCUCUCUGUAACACACCUGCCCCUCUUCCCUCCUCAGGUAGUGCUGCCCCCUAUCCAGGAUGGACCCCCACAGCAAGUCGGCCGAGACCCAGCAGAGAGCACCCAGACUGGGCCACAGCACAUAGGUCCUGCCCCUGGAGCACCUCUACCUCGCAGGAAGACAUGCCAGGCAGUGUGUAAGGGUUAUGCUGAGCGGUACCAGGAGCAAAGGGAGGCCAGAGCCCAGAAGGCCCAGAAGUCAAACGUUAGGGCUGAUCCCACUAACCCCACCCACACCACCCUGCCCACCAUCACACACCCUGCCCUACAUCACACACCCUGAGAGGAGAGGUUCCCUCCUAUGCUGCUGUCACCAAUCAAGCCCAUUCACAUGAUUUAGGAGAUGAGGAAAUAGGAGGCAAAGAAGGAAGGACGAUAUUGAAGAGAAUUGGAACGUAGCCAGAGCUGAACUGGUUCUGUGCUGCCACUUUGAUACUUUGACCAGGGACCUAAAAUAAACAAGUCCAAUCUCUCUACUUGAGGUAAUUUCUUAUAGUGUGUCUGAAAUAACACCCUAUUCCCUACAUAGUGCAUUACUUUUGAGCAGAGCCCACUGGGCCCUGGUCAAAAGUAGUUCACUAUAUAGAGAAUAGGCUCCUGAGUGGGGCAGCGGUCUAAGGCCCUGCA